UACCAGCUCUCCGAGUGGUAGGGAUGAUUAUUGGGCUUAAAGCGUCCGUAGCCGGCUUAGCAAGUCUCCUGUUAAAUUCAGCGACCUAAUCGUUGAGCCGCGGGAGAUACUGCUAGGCUAGGAGGCGGGAGAGGUCAACGGUACUUCCGGGGUAGGGGUGAAAUCCUAUAAUCCCGGGGAGGACCACCAGUGGCGAAGGCUGUUGACUAGAACGCGCUCGACGGUGAGGGACGAAAGCUGGGGGAGCGAACCGGAUUAGAUACCCGGGUAGUCCCAGCUGUAAACGAUGCGAGCUAGGUGUUGGGGUGGCUACGUGCCACUUCAGUGCCGCAGGGAAGCCAUUAAGCUCGCCGCCUGGGGAGUACGGCCGCAAGGCUGAAAACUUAAAGGAAUUGGCGGGGGAGCGACCACAAGGCGUGAAGCUUGCGGUUC
rnacentral:rRNA from 1 species